CGAACCGCACGGCGGCGUCCUGGGGGGUCCACUGUGAGGACGGGGGGUCCACCGUGAGGACGGAGCUCCCUCUCCUCAGCACCCACCCCGGAGGGGCCGGGGCUUGGGACACCUGGGGACACCUGGGGCCGCGUCCGGUGUGAAGACAGGGAGACGCUGCUGCAGCUCCGGGACACCUGGGGCCGCCGAGGCAAAGGGGUAAAUCUUUUCAAGACACUAAAACAGGUGACUCAGCCCUGUGAGCUCUGUGCCUGACAUGACCCAAACGGCCAGCAAUUUUCUCCUUCUCCAGUUAAACCUGUCCAACAUUGAGGAACCAAUCUACAUGAGAACUGGCAACUCUAAUUUACCCCGAAGCCUUUCUGCAGGAGAUUCAAAUAUUUGCUAAUGCUUACUGAUACCUUCACUGGUUAGAUUGAGGCAUUCCCCACCCCAUCUGAAAAAUGUUUACCAGAAGAAAUAACUCCUCAGUUUGGGUAAUCUAAAAGCCUGCAAAGUGACAAUGGCCCAUCUUUCACAGCAGGCGUAACCCAACACCUAUCUCAGCUUUAAGAAUCCAAUAUUACCUUCACUCUGUGUGGAGACUGCAGUCCUCUGGAAAGGUGAAAGGGCUAAUCCUACUCUACAGAAGACUCCAGCUAAAUCAGACGCCUGACUAUCUCCAACACCCAUAGCUUACUGCGGGUUUGAACUGCUCCAAAGUAAAACGUAUAAUUAAGUCCUGUUGAGUUAACAUGUGGAAGGCCUUUCCUAACGACAGAUCUCCUAAUAGAUGAAAAGACUCAUCAAUUACAAAAAUAUGUCAUCAAUCUGGGACAGGUGCAAAGGCACUCCGUGCAUAUGGAAACAAGAGUCUUCCCCUCCCACAUGGGAGGAAAAUUCAGUUUCAGCUCAGCUAGGGAUUUAGUCUUACUAAAGACGUGGGAGGAAGUUCUCCAGCUGAGCAGCUUUCCCCAACGUGGAAGGGACCACGCAAGGACACCUGAGUUCUCCAACAGACGUUCAACGCCAAGGGAUUCACAGUUCUGGGAGGUGAUCUCUGAUGAACAUGCUAUCGACUCCGCUGGCACCUACCACGGGGACAGCCACCUGCAGCUGGAGCGCAUCAACGUGCACCACCACGAGGCCAGCGGUGGCAGGUACGUGCCCCGCGCUGUGCUCGUGGAUCUGGAGCCGGGCACCAUGGACUCUGUGCGCUCGGGGCCCUUCGGGCAGGUCCUCAGGCCAGACAACUUCAUCUUCGGUGAGCUGCGGGCGAGGACUGGGGUGCGGCUCCUUAGCCAGGGCAGCUCAAAAUCCAGGAACGCUCCAAGGUCAUCCUGUGGGAACUGUGGCGCCAGGGCCCCUGAACACCCUCCUAUCUGCCGAGUCGAGUCGCUCAAUCUGCCUCUCUUAAACGGGCUUCGGGAGGAAGUCCCGGGUGUCUCCUCAAGGUCAGUGUGGGGCCGGAAACAACUGGGCCAAGGGACGCUACACCGAAGGCGCGGAGCUGACGGAGUCAGUGAUGGACGUUGUCAGAAAGGAGGCUGAGAGCUGUGACUGCCUGCAGGGUUUCCAGCUGACCCACUCCCUGGGUGGGGGGACUGGGUCUGGGAUGGUUACCCUCCUCAUCAGCAAGAUCCGGGAGGAGUACCCAGACAGGAUCAUAAACACAUUCAGCAUCCUGCCCUCGCCCAAGGUGUCAGACACCGUGGUGGAGCCCUACAACGCCACCCUCUCAGUCCACCAGCUCAUA
rnacentral:lncRNA from 1 species